AUUGAACGCUGGCGGCAGGCCUAACACAUGCAAGUCGAGCGGCAGCACGGGUACUUGUACCUGGUGGCGAGCGGCGGACGGGUGAGUAAUGCCUAGGAAUCUGCCUGGUAGUGGGGGAUAACGCUCGGAAACGGACGCUAAUACCGCAUACGUCCUACGGGAGAAAGCAGGGGACCUUCGGGCCUUGCGCUAUCAGAUGAGCCUAGGUCGGAUUAGCUAGUUGGUGAGGUAAUGGCUCACCAAGGCGACGAUCCGUAACUGGUCUGAGAGGAUGAUCAGUCACACUGGAACUGAGACACGGUCCAGACUCCUACGGGAGGCAGCAGUGGGGAAUAUUGGACAAUGGGCGAAAGCCUGAUCCAGCCAUGCCGCGUGUGUGAAGAAGGUCUUCGGAUUGUAAAGCACUUUAAGUUGGGAGGAAGGGUUGUAACCUAAUACGUUGCAAUCUUGACGUUACCGACAGAAUAAGCACCGGCUAACUCUGUGCCACCAGCCGCGGUAAUACAGAGGGUGCAAGCGUUAAUCGGAAUUACUGGGCGUAAAGCGCGCGUAGGUGGUUCGUUAAGUUGGAUGUGAAAUCCCCGGGCUUAACCUGGGAACUGCAUUUGUGACUGGCGGGCUAGAGUAUGGCAGAGGGGGGUAGAAUUCCACGUGUAGCAGUGAAAUGCGUAGAGAUGUGGAGGAAUACCGAUGGCGAAGGCAGCCCCCUGGGCCAAUACUGACGCUCAUGCACGAAAGCGUGGGGAGCAAACAGGAUUAGAUACCCUGGUAGUCCACGCCCUAAACGAUGUCAACUAGUUGUCGGGCCUUCAUUGGCUUGGUAACGUAGCUAACGCGUGAAGUUGACCGCCUGGGGAGUACGAA
rnacentral:rRNA from 1 species